CGUACGUAACGACGUAGAUUGUGUCGUAAAUCGUCAACCCCAUCACCCAGUUGACAAGCCAAACUUGCUUUUCUUGGUAGACGGUUUGUCUUUAAUCAAUUUAUAUAUUAAUGGACAGCCCCAGCCCAGCAACCCACACUCACUGUUGAGCAGGCCAGAUGUAAGAACAGUUGUCACAUACUUUUGUCUUAUUACUAAUGCCCAGUAGUGCCACAGAUCUCUUCAAACUGCUUGUGUUGCUGAUAGAGGUCAUCCAAGCCUUCUCUGUGCCAGAGACUUCAGCGUGGAUGGAGGAGGCACGGGAGAGCGCCUACAACAUGGGCAAGAUGCGAUAGCUGGUGCUCCCCAUGGCCACCCAGAUCCAACAGGAGGUCAUCAAGGCUUAUGGCUUCAAUGAGGGAGAGGGUGAGGGAAGCCACUUUGUGAAACCAGUUCCAUACAGAAUGAAAGGGUAGAGAUAGACAAUCUAUUGUCACUUGUCAGUGGCAUUGUUUUGUGUGAAGACUGAAUGCUAUCUUUUUGCAUCAUGUUCAGUUUGACCUAUACUGAAAAAAAAUAUAAAUGCAGCAAUUUCUAUGAUUUACUGAGUUAGUUCAUAUAAGGAAAUCAGUCAAUUGAAAUAUAUUCAUAAGGCCCUAAUCUAUGGAUUUCAUAUGUUGGUCACAGAUAUCUUCUUAAAAAAUGGUAGGGGUCGUGGAUCAGAAAACCGGUAAACAUCUGGUGUGACCACCAUUUGCGUCAUGCAGCUCGACACCUCCUUCGCCUUGAGUUGAUAAGGCUGUUGAUUGUGACCUGUGAAAUGUUGUCCCACUCCUCUUCAAUGGCUGUGCGAAGAUGCUGGGUAUUUGCGGGAACACACUAACACGUCAAUCCAGAGUAUGAAAACAUGCUCAAUGGGUGACAUGUUUGAGUAUGCGCUGGUGGAAAUUCCUGCAGUCAGCAUGUCAAUUGCCCUCAACUUGUGGCUUUGUGUUGUGUGACAACUGCUCAUUUUAGAGUGUCCUUUUGUCCCCAGCACAAGGUGCACCUGUGUAAUGAUGAUGCCAUUUAAUCUGCUUCUUGAUAUGCCACACCUGUCAAGUGGAUGGAUUAUCUUGGCAAAGGAGAAAUGCUCACUAAGAGGGAUGUAAAAUGUGUGUCAUACUGAGAGAAAUAAGCUUGUUGUGCGUAUGGAACAUUUCUGGGAUCUUUUAUUUCAGCUCAUGAAACCAACUCUUUACAUGUUGCAUUUAUAUAUUUGUUCAGUGUAUUUGUGAAAUCAUGGUGGUCAAUCAUAGUAGUCAUUGCUUGUUUUAGCUAUUUUUCAGGUGUUCUUAAAUUUGCCCGUCAGGUGAAGAUGUAUGAAACACAGGAUGCAGAGAUAGCAGCCAUAUCAGUCAAACUGGGGUCUCUUCUCCUGUCCACUCCACCCAUAGGUGGUGCAAUCCCAGCAAACUAUUUUAUUGUGGACCGCUUUGUUUUUCCAGAAGGGACAUCUACAAAAUGUUACUGUACUUUCAUCAAGUACGUGCAAUCAAGUACAAUACUGCUAUUGUAUAAAAUGUCAAUCUCAGUUGUCACAGCUAGAUAAAUUGUAUUAAUAUAAAACUCAAAUUUGAGAUUUUUAUUAAAGAUAACAGCAACACAAACAGAUUAAAACAACCUUUAUUAUGGCA